rnacentral:rRNA from 1 species
UUAAGCCAUGCAUGUCUAAGUACACACCUUUACACGGUGAGACUGCGAAAGGCUCAUUAAAUCAGCUAUUGUUUCUUAGAUCAUUGAACAUUACAUGGAUAACUGUGGUAAUUCUAGAGCUAAUACAUGAAACAAAGCCUUGACCUCACGGGAAAGGCGCUUUUAUUAGAUCAAAACCAACCGAGCUUGCUCGUACGUUUGGUGACUCUGGAUAACUUUGUGCAGAUCGCAGGACCUUGCUCGGCGACGUAUCUUUCAAAUGUCUGACCUAUCAACUGUCGUUGGUAGGUGAUAUGCCUACCAUGGUGAUAACGGGUAACGGGGAAUCAGGGUUCGA